AGGCAUUCUAGGGCAUGGCAGUAAAAAUACCAUUUCAUUACAACUAACGCUUCAGAUCCCUCUAAGGUGAGCUAUCCAGCAUGCAAACAGUUAAGAUGACUCUGAAAAAUGCAUAUUUGUAUGUUAUUUUUAUCCAAAACAGUGCCUAAAAAGACAAACACGCAUUUUUAUAUUUCUGUAUUUUACACACAUAUGUGUAUAAUAAAAAAUAUAUAUAUAGAGGUAUACAAUAUCCCAGUAGUCUUGCACUCAAUAAUUGAUAUAAUCUUAUGCCCAGUGCUUAAUCCAGCAGUAGACUGUAAAAAAAAAAUCCAAAAAGGAUAGCACUCAUGGGACUUCUUUUACAAUUUAAAAAAACUUGUAUUGACAAUUUGAAAAAGAGGUCACAGGAGUGCUAUCCGUUUUUGGAACUUUUAUAUGUACAGUAAAUGAGUGUAUGUAUAUGUGCAUAUAAAAUCAAGCACACUCACUGACUCCCUAAACACCAGCUUCAAAGCUCAUAUAAGUUUAAAAAAUACAAUAAAGAAAUGAUUUAGACACAAAUAAAGGGGAUUUAGUUACAGUAUACGAUCAUACAUUGCCUAACUCUGCCACAAUAAAAAAAAAAAAAACAGUUUUCAUUUUGUGAGCUUUGAAGCUGGUGUUUAGUGAGUGAGUGAUUGCACUGUCUUCCCCAGCAGCACCCAGCACCCUUAUAAUGUAUGCAUGUCACUUUCUGUGGUCUGGCUGAAUUUGCAAAGACCCCCAACGGUUACAUUGCCGCUGGGGGUUUGUUGGAGGGAGGGCAAGUAAAAAUGAGAUUUACUGACCCAAACGUGUCCCUCACAGGCGCUGCCAUCUUCCUCUUAAGCUCCCGUGCUUCUGCACCACGAACCUACGUCACUGCUGCACGAGAGUGAGGUCUUUAGAGGAUCCCAUGAGACCACGUGAUCCUACAAAGACAGAGCCAAUUCUUCAAGUUUUGUUGAUUUCACAAUAUUUUGGCCCAAUAUUUUGGUACAAGCUGUUUACAAAUCCCAAAACACUUACUUGAUUAUGUUCCACUUACUGUGUAUAUGUUGGUUUACAAUAAAAGGUCUCUUUUAGCCCUGUUUCAUGUUGGAAUGGGAUAAUUUUAAUGCUGUCCCCAGUUACACGUGGCCAUGAUCUAGAAAUGAGUUUCACAAAGCACUUAUCAGGAUUAAAGCAUCAUAGUACAUUGGUACUUAUUUUUUUUAUAGGUACAAUAUACACAGCUCCAUUGUUGUGUAUGGAAUGAGAAUCUUGUCAAUGUUAAUACAGUCUUUAUAUUGCUGCUUCUGUUUGGUUUUUUUUAAAAUCUUCUCUUUAAUUGUAUUUAUUUAUUUUAAUUACGAUGCUAUGUCUGUCAUUACCAUUACUAUCUUAAUGGACUUAAUCUUUAUUAUGUAUAAAUUUUUGUCACUACGGCAGCACCAUUCCUGCAAGAUGCAUGUUUGGGGUGUGCCCCAAUUCCUUUUUGUAAUUACUCUGCAUGUUUGGAAUCCAGACAAGAUUCCCUUAGGGGUUAAACACCCUGUCCAGGCCCCCAGCUUCAGUAGCCUCUUUGGAGGUGACCACAAGUAUAUAUUUGAGGAAGUUUUGGAUAGUAAUGCCAUGAGUAUAUACAUCAAAGCACUAUCACUUUAAUUAUUUAGUUUUGACACUGCAUCUUUUAAAAUUGUGUUUAUCACAUUAAUUUUGUCUUAUAUUUAUUCAUAGCGCUCUUACAACAGAUUAUUUAAAUACACUUUACAGUUAGCACUAGCACUUUUUAAUUUGUCUCCCACGUUGGAAUUAGUGUAGGAUCCCCCAAUAUUGGGAUACUGUUAAAUAGUUUUAGGCUUAACACAAUAUGGCCAUGUGGUGGAACUAAAUUUUCAUAUUUGUUUGCUGAGAUAGGCGAUUUUAAGUAGCCUUACUGAAUUCAGAAAUGUAUUUUUAUGUGUGGGCUGUUCCUUAAUAUAUGCUACCAUUACUAUAACAUGGAGACUCGACUGUUAAUUUCACUUUUUGCUUCUCAGUGAUGUUUUUUUACAGUAUAUUUUGUAUAUUUACAAAACAUGUAAAGCUUAAACAAAGUUCAGUAAUUGUAUUUACUCCCUACAUCGCUCUUCAAGACUUUCCCACCCCAUGCAAACAGUAAAUGUAUACAUUAUUUAUAAUCUAAUAUAUUUUACGGUCUCACUUUCAAAUUCAUUGUUUUCAAUCUCAUUAUCUGUUACAUUAGGUACUAGAGAAUGAAGAAAGAAAGACGCUAAUAAUCUAACACUUACUGUUCUAAAGAAAGCAGGCCUGGACAUGGAUGUUAAAAUACACUUACAAUAGCUGCCAGACUCAUCAGCAGCAGUUGGUUGUUGAGUCUCUGUGUUUGAAACAUCAUUACUUAAACAUUAUCUGGAAAAAUAAAUUGUGCUUCCUGCGAAGUGAAGAUUAAGCACUAUCUCCCUCUCUUUCUUCCUAAGAAUAUGUGAGAAUGGAGAGGCUUAUUUAUAACUGGGCCUGCAAAGCAGCACAUGGAGAGAUUAAAGAGCAGGCUGAUGUCACCAUGGGACAGAGAGGUUGCUAAAUCUGGAAGCGAUUCGAUGAGAGAGUGAGUGAUGCAACACGUGGUGUGAGAUGUCUUUGUUUACACAGAGCUGGAAAGACAUGCCUAGAUCCUUUGGCAAAGGAGGGAGCUUUACAUUUAACUGAGCUGUGCCCUUUUACACUUCACUGUGAUAUGUUGUAGUAUUCAAAGC
rnacentral:lncRNA from 1 species